rnacentral:rRNA from 1 species
AUACGGAGGAUGCGAGCGUUAUCCGGAUUUAUUGGGUUUAAAGGGUGCGCAGGCGGCGCGUUAAGUCAGCGGUGAAAUGUCCCGGCUCAACCGGGGCACUGCCGUUGAUACUGGCGUGCUAGAGUACGGACGGCGCCGGCGGAAUGUGUCAUGUAGCGGUGAAAUGCUUAGAUAUGCCACAGAACACCGAUCGCGAAGGCAGCUGGCGAGGCCGGUACUGACGCUCAGGCACGAAAGCGUGGGGAUCAAACAGGAUUAGAUACCCUGGUAGUCCACGCAGUAAACGAUGAUAACUUGUUGUCGGCGAUAGAAUGUCGGUGACAAAGCGAAAGCGAUAAGUUAUCCGCCUGGGGAGUACGAUCGCAAGGUUGAAACUCAAAUGAAUUUACGGGG